UGGACAUGUUAUUAUAUUCGACUGUAUUUACGGCGUGAAACAGGGGAUUACACUGUUUUUAAACGGAAAGUGAAUCAAUUAACAUAAUAGACUCCU
rnacentral:pre_miRNA from 1 species